UACGGGGGGGGUAAGCGUUGUUCGGAAUCACUGGGCGUAAAGGGUGCGUAGGCGGGUCUUUAAGUCAGGGGUGAAAUCCUGGAGCUCAACUCCAGAACUGCCUUUGAUACUGAGGAUCUUGAGUACGGGAGAGGUGAGUGGAACUGCGAGUGUAGAGGUGAAAAUUCGUAGAUAUUCGGAAGAACACCAGUGGCGAAGGCGACUUACUGGACACAUAUUGACGCUGAGGAGCGAAAGCGUGGGGAGCAAGCAGG
rnacentral:rRNA from 1 species